rnacentral:rRNA from 1 species
UUCAGAGAUGAGAAUGUGCCUUCGGGAACCGUGAGACAGGUGCUGCAUGGCUGUCGUCAGCUCGUGUUGUGAAAUGUUGGGUUAAGUCCCGCAACGAGCGCAACCCUUAUCCUUUGUUGCCAGCGAUUAGGUCGGGAACUCAAAGGAGACUGCCAGUGAUAAACUGGAGGAAGGUGGGGAUGACGUCAAGUCAUCAUGGCCCUUACGACCAGGGCUACACACGUGCUACAAUGGCGCAUACAAAGAGAAGCGACCUCGCGAGAGCAAGCGGACCUCAUAAAGUGCGUCGUAGUCCGGAUUGGAGUCUGCAACUCGACUCCAUGAAGUCGGAAUCGCUAGUAAUCGUGGAUCAGAAUGCCACGGUGAAUACGUUCCCGGGCCUUGUACACACCGCCCGUCACACCAUGGGAGUGGGUUGCAAAAGAAGUAGGUAGCUUAACCUUCGGGAGGGCGCUUACCACUUUGUGAUUCAUGACUGGGGUGAAGUCGUAACAAGGUAACCGUAGGGGAACCUGCGGUUGGA